GACGAACGCUGGCGGCGUGCUUAACACAUGCAAGUCGAACGGAGUGGCGAACGGGUGAGUAACACGUGGGUGACCUGCCCUGCACUUCGGGAUAAGCCUGGGAAACUGGGUCUAAUACCGGAUAGUGUGGGCUGGGCCCGCGGCCUAUCAGCUUGGUGGUGGGGUAAGGGACGACGAAGGCGGAGACGGGUAGCCGGCCUGAGAGGGUGGACGGCCACAUUGGGACUGAGACACGGCCCAGAGUCCUACGGGAGGCAGCAGUGGGGAAUAUUGCACAAUGGGCGGAAGCCUGAGGCAGCGACGCCGCGUGGGGGAUGACGGCCUUCGGGUUGUAAACUCCUUUCACCAUCGACGCGGUAGAUGGAGAAGAAGCACCGGCUAACUACGUGCCAGCAGCCGCGGUAAUUC
rnacentral:rRNA from 1 species